AGUCUCCUUCCUCACUUCACAAUGAAGAGGCCAACUUCUGCCAGUGCCGACUGCCAUUCAGGCUAGCCUCAAGCUCCCUGCAUAGCUGAGGCAGAACUUGAACUCCACAUCCUACUGUCUCUACCCACCAAGUGCUGAGACUGCAGGCAUGAACCACCAUGUCCAGCUGAAAUCUCAAACUUGUUAACAAGACUUGCGUGAAAUUCUGAACAGGGUGUGCUAGCAGUUCCCAUAGGCUUUAGGCAUUCUGCACGUAAGACAGAAGAAGCUGGCUUGUCUACAGGCUGGUGUCUAAAGGCUGGUAUGGAGAGGGAGGGCUGUCCUGAGAAGAUGUGCAGCCUUCCAUGUCCAGGAGCAAGGGCCUGCUGUCUGGUGAACACAGCCUGGUGAGUCAGGCAUGAAAGUAAGCAGGGUGUCCAAGACAAUCCUGACCGGAGUCUUUCAGCCUAGCCUGGCUUUGCUGCCUGCCUGCCUUCCCCACUUGGACUGGUUUCCGGCCCCACAGACUCUGAGUGAGCACUUCAGAAGUAUCAGCCCAUGGGGUCCCUGCACCAGAGCCGUAGCACUGGCUGGCUAACCCAGACCUGCUGCAGGGUCCAGCCACAUCGAAAAGAUCACAGCUGCAGAGAGCACCCCACCUCUGGCUAUAGAGUGAAAUGAAAACGAGGAGUGAAGCAAGAAUAGAUGGAAGGCAAGAAUGAUGGUGAACACCUCCAAUCCCAGCACUUAGGAAGGAUAAGCAGGCAGAUCUCUGAGUUCAAGGCCAGCCAGGUCUCCAUAGUAAGUUCCAGGCCAGCAAGGACUCAAUAGUGAAAACAUGCCUUUUUUUUUUUUUUUAAUGCAGACAAGAGAAAGUAAUUAAAAGGGCCAGAAAGAGAUGAUAAUGGCUAUGGUGAUGAUUACACCGUUGAGAAAAGGAGGGGUAACCCCUGACUAUAUGUUAUAAAUGUAGUCAGGGGUAGGAGGGAUCUAUCGUUCCCCUUGUCACCAUGACCAACGGCCUGACAGGAAGCACUGAAAGGGAGGAAGAACUUAUUUGGGUUCAUGGCUUUAGGGGAUAUGGUCCAUGAUGGUAGGGAAGGCAGGGACGGGGAGGAGACAGUAACUUGACCAUAUGUACAGGAAGCAGAGCGGGGUUGAGGUCAGAGGUAGAACAAGGUUAUAACUCUUAAGGCCCACCCUCCAGUGAAUCUCUUCUUCCAGCUAGGCCCUACAUGCUAAAGGUUCCCCAACCCCCCCCCCCAAAUAAGGAGCUACCAGGCAGGGACCCAGUACUCAAACACAUCAUUCCACCUUCGAACCUUGUGACCUUAAAUGACGGCCUCAUAUACUCGUAUCGGUGCCAAGACUCUGGUCCCAUAACAUAACAACUCUUUUUUGGGAUGCAGUACAAGAGUUCCCAUCUCACAUAACCUGAAGCGUUUGCACUCUGCGAAGUGUUUUCUGGAAACAUCACAGUCCUCCUGCUCUGUGCUGAUCAUCACCUCUGGCUCCUAAGCGUGCUUCUCACGUGCUUCCUUGGCAGGCCGGCAGGAGGUUAAGGACUGCUUGAUCCAGGGUGGAGGCUCAGCAUGGAGCUAGGAACCACUAGAGCAGUGAGAUGACCACAGUGUCAAGUGGCUACUCUGUGUGAUGGGGAUUCUAAAAAUACACCCCCUGUCCUGCCACUCCUGGGGCACCAGUCCUGCCUGCCCAUGUGCCAGGCAGACAGCAGCCUGCUCCCUCCUAACUCUCCCCGAUGCCCCUACAGUCCAGGUCAUCCUCUAUUCUCAGCACUGGCUGUUGUAUUAGCCACCUGCCUUCUCUUUCUUCUCCAUGUGGCCGAUCAGGCGGUUACUGGAAAACACAGUGACCUGUUAAGAGGCCACCACAUAAGACAAUAAGCAAAGCCCAUUCUAUUCAAGCAGCUAUUCAUUCACUCAGUUUAACAUACAUUAAGACAGCAGGGCAGAGUGCCUUUACUGGGUCAGGGCUGUAGUAAAUGCCACACGUUAGGCAACAGAGAAGUUUUGCUCUAGGACUCCAUACAACACUCAAGCACAGCCCAGUGCAGACUGGAAUGAUAGAGGUCAGGAGACUGGUGACAUCUUACGAGAUGAGGAGGCAAAGGACAUGCAGAGUCCAUAGGUCGGGAAAUACUUUCAUUGCCCAUCACAGAAGUGAUUCUCAUGUGAAAUGCACUGCAUUGGACAAUAUUACGAGUUGUAUUCUUUGAUCCAUGCCUCUUAAAUGGCAGUCCUAUUGUAGUUUUAGAUGAAAUAUAUUUUGCUUAUGCUCUAUAGAGCUAUAUACACACCCAUGACUCAAUAACAGGUGAGAAAUGCUAUGCUAACAUUUUAUCAGGGCUUAUAUAUUUCUGAUGUGUGGGAUAGUGGUAAAGAUUAAACUGACUGCUUUAUCCUUUUUCGGGUUUCCCAAUUAUUCUACACUGAAUACAUCCUGCUUACAUAACGAGAUUAGAUAUGCUAAAUGUUAUUUUUAAACAUUUUAAAAAGUGCGAGCCCUUGAGAUGAAACAGUGGGCAAGCACGAGGCAGGUGGCUGUCUUCCCGGGGCAAAGCCCGCUCACAAGCUUUUGUCCUCUUCCACAGCAAGGACACUAGCUCAGGAGUACUGUCCCUGUCUGUGGGAUUUCGGAGAGGCUAAAUAAAGCUCUUGGCUCUGUGGGGGCUGAGGUAAGUGGAGCCUCUGGGGGAGCCCUCAGGGCUUUCCUGUCCUUGCUGAGGGGCAUGCCAAGCCCCUCCUCACAGCCUGAGAAUACACCUGACUCAGGCUCCAGCCAUGCUAACCUGGGACUGCUCAGGAUCCCCCGAGCUUGCCAACCUGGACCUAGGGUCAAAAGAGGUGGGGUCAUUUCAGAAUCCUCUCCCACAGCCCAUCAGCAAGAAGGAAUAGCUGGCAUGUGAACUUGAAGAUAUAAAGAAGUCAAAGGGAACCUGGCGUUGGGAAUUUAAAACUAAAAAAGAAAAUGAAACCCUGAAAGCCCUACGGAUGGGAGAAAAUGGAACAAGGAGAGAGACUCUGGCCCUUGUUUUUCUCUCUUGGAACAGGGCUACUGUGGGAUAAGCAAGUGAAGACGCUUAUAUUUAUUGUACAUUGAUGUUGGGAGAGGUAGACAGUGGUCCCUAGCUCCCUACUCGGCUACUAGUGGACCCUGCCUUAGACAUCCCAGUCUAAUCAUAACAGACUCAGGCGCAGAUUUGUCUGCGUGCCCAAAGCCUGAUUUCUGCGCUGGCAAAGCCAGCAAUGUCCUGUGAGCAUCAACUUGUGAUUCAAAGUGUGUUUUAUACGUCCAGCACGGAUCCUAAAAAAUCACUUCACCCUGCUCUCCCACCCGCCUCUCCAGACCCCCAACACAAAACUCCCACAGAGAAAGUCAAGUCGUGUGACAGCUUUUCACAUCGAGCCAAGGCAGGAAUCAGUAGCCAGUUCUGCCCUGUGACACACACACAUACAUAGCCUCCAGCAGUCACAUGGGUUCCAGCUGCCACCACUUGCCCUCUGUCCCUGACCUGGUACUCUUUCCCUGGCAGACCUCCUGAGCUGACUUGUCCCUCCAAGCAAUGGCUUGGCAAACAGUUGGACUGAAGGCCUGAGUGCCAACCUGCUUGGACGGCUCUGUUGAAGCUGAUCUCAAGGUGGGAGCCCUUCCAGUAGUCUCUGGACACCAUGUAGUGUGCCCCAGAGGGAAUUAGGUCCUUUACUGGCCUGAAGUAGAAAUAGACAGAGCUGUUUGCUAUGGGUUCACUACAGACAACCACAGCCAGAAGCCUCAGGAGCAGAGAUCUUGAGCCCUAGGGCUGAGUGAGGCUAGGUAGGCAGUCAAGGGCAUGUCCAGUGUAGCUCAAGGGGAGGCUGGAAGUCAGACACUGGGGCCUUGGAGAACAGGAAAAAGGCAAAUACAAAAGACGCCAUCUUUUGCAUUUGUGUAUAAGGACACUCCUCAAACACAAUUCAACAACAACAAUAACAACAAAUCCAAUUACCACACAAUGGCUCUCACCUAGGAAUUGUUUAUUAUGCGGGGACAUUUGUUGAUGUAUAGGAACAUCUUGGGUGAUCAGAGCUGUGAAAAUACCACUGACUCUAGUGGAGAGGACAGGGAUGCAGUUGUAAAGUGUCCAGGAUUGGCUGGCCCCAAUAUGGAUGGUAGUGUAGUCAAGUCUGGUCUGUGAGAAAGCAUUCCUGAAGAGUGCCUGAACUAGGCCCCAGAUAAUCAACCCAGAUGACCAAACCACGGCUAUCAUUUCCAAAAGUGGGACCCUUCAGAGCCUGCCCAGCAUCUCAAAUUGAAGGCCAAGGCCUCAGCAGGCACCAGGCUUCUCUUCCACAAGUUGGGCCUGAUUUCCCCUCAGCUUCACCUUUCCCUGGGUUUUGUCCAGACCCAAACCACCCACAUGCUUUAUGCACUCCAUGACUCUUUGCUAGGAAGAAAGGAUUCUGCUUCCUGCCUAAAAUUCUCUCCUCUCAUUUAUGUCAGACAAAUACCCUUCCUGUUGGGUCCAGCUGUGACAUUUCCUCUUCCCUUGUAGCUGUCCUACAUCCUCCACAAAGCAGCUCUGCUCUAGCCUCAUCGAGGGUAUGUCCUGGGUUUGUGUCUGUCUCUGCUGCCAAUCUGGGCUUCCCCAGCAUACAAGCUUCUCUUCCCAGUGCAGAGGAGACUUUAAACAGUGGGAGCCAUUGGGUGAUCACUGGUCUUUCUGUGGCCAUGUGGUGAAGGGACACUCCUGGCCUUCAAUGACAGAAGAUCCUUGGGGAACUGAAGACAAUGUAGAGGAGGAAUGUGAAGUCAGCUGUAUCACCAAAGAAGGCAAGAUGGCUGGGGAGACUGAACAGUGGAGCAAGCACUUACCCUGAAAGUGUGAGGACCAGAGGGCAGCUCCCCAGAACCCUUGGGGAAAACGAGAGAAGGAGAGAGAGAGGCUGGCAUCCCCAGGGCAAUCUGGCUAACGAGACUAGCUAGAACCAGCAAACUCCAGGUUCAGCAAGGAGUCCUGUCUCAGUCAGUAACAGUGGCAACAUUUAGGACCAAAAUGACAAAGAACAGGCACUGUGCACCAUUUCCUUGACACUUAUCCAUUAAAAGAUUUUUACAUUAUAAUUUUACAACUUCAGUUCUGACUGUUUAGGAGGCUUUAUCACUUUCCUGAUAAAGAAAUAGGCUGCGUAUCAUCUCUUAAGACACAAUCAGAAAAAAAAAGAGUUAAAUCUCAACUAAAUAAAUGAUAAUAAAGGAGACAUACAUAAGGCACAUGUACUCAUUACACAUGAAUACACACACAUAUGCAAAGAAGGAAGGAAAUGGAGAUAGGAAAGAGUACUGAGUGACCAAGGGAGACUCAGAGAGUCAUUCAAUGUGCAAAACCAAAGGUGAGGAGGUCCCCAGCUCCAGAAGAGGCUCUGUAGGCUUCUGACACACCUCAGGCUGGCCAUGAAGCAUCGAAGAGGAGGAUUUCUGCCAAGUGCUUAGCAGUGAUUGGCAUGAAGAUGGAAAGGUCCGACCAUUUGCACAUGUAAGAACUCAUGUUUUUCUCAAGUCACCUCGUCCAGAAAAUGAAAUGAUAAGAUGCCUUUCUACAGUACAGAGAUACCUUUGCUCAAGGGGAAGAAGAGAUUGUCUCCAGAUUCCUAAGUCCUGUCCCUUCCUGCCUUCCCCUUUUGGCUGGACCAUUCUGUGUCAGUGUAAAGAACACACGGCCUCAGAAGGCAUUUUCCCUGAUGCUGCUUAUGAAUAAAUAAAAGCUGAUAGAACCUUC